UGUCCAUCCAGGACAAAGGCAACCCUUGUUUAUCCCAGUGUGGCUCUUGGCUCUGUGCCCAUGGCUGGUUCGUGCCUUGGAUACAUGG
rnacentral:snoRNA from 1 species